UACGAAGGGGGCUAGCGUUGCUCGGAAUUACUGGGCGUAAAGGGCGCGUAGGCGGACAGUUUAGUCAGAGGUGAAAGCCCAGGGCUCAACCUUGGAAUUGCCUUUGAUACUGGCUGUCUUGAGUACGGGAGAGGUGAGUGGAACUCCGAGUGUAGAGGUGAAAUUCGUAGAUAUUCGGAAGAACACCAGUGGCGAAGGCGACUCACUGGCCCGUUACUGACGCUGAGGCGCGAAAGCGGGGGGAGCAAACAGG
rnacentral:rRNA from 1 species